AAUUACAGAAAAUUCGAUUAACACGAUUUGCGGUCUGACAACAAAUCAAAAUGGCCGCCAUUAUGAAAAUGUAUACUUGGAACUUUGUUGGUCACUGCGUUAAUGCGUCAGCAGCAUCAUGCCACAAGUACUUACCUGCAACUUGCAACAUCACCGUGAACGCCAUUAAUUACAAUUUCAAAGAUGAGGCCACCAGCAAUGCAAACAGCCGCGCUGCAGCAGAAUAAUGAGGUGCACAUCAACACACAGCGACAACGUCAGAUACAACAACAGCAACAACAACAUUACACUACACAGCAUCAACAGCUUCCUUUACAACUGCGGCCACAGCAAUAUCAGCAGCAGAACCAUCAGCAGCAACAACAACAACAGCAGCUCCAACAACCCCAAACCACUCCACUGACACUUCUCAACCAGUCACACUACGAUACAACUGCAGCGCAACAAGCGCGCAAAUACCAUUUUGAGCAACCGAACUUUACCGUUGAUAAACCGCUGAAUUUUGUAGCGACCACAAUAGUUGCGCCCGCGGAGAAAGAGGUGGGCGUUGUGAUACCAAAACCAAGAGUAAGCCGAAAUUCUGCAGCAUAUCCAGUUAGUGUCAAACUGCCAGUGAAUGAUAAAAGUAGGCAGGAGCAAUUUGUGCAACGCCAGCAUUUACAACAACUGCAGCAACAGCAACCGCAUCAACCGCAGCCGCAAAGCACCAGUCUUGAUUGCAUACAAUUGCUGGACCUGAGCACAUCACCGCCACAUGAGCCCGUCUACCCACUCCAAGGUAGCACAACAGCUUACUUGCCGCAACGGCCUCUAGCGGACGUGCCACCGCCAUAUCGGCGCGCAUCAGCUGCCAGUGCGGCGCCUGUGCCAACGCACCGAGCUUCCUACGCCAGUCAAUAUUCGCGCUCCUCGUCGAGUGAGGACGGUUCGAUUGGCGGCGGCGGUAGCAGCAGCAACAGUAGAACAGCGGCCGGUUUUCCUAACACCUAUUCGCGUGCUAGCAGCGCAUUUGAUGACGCGGCUGAGCAUUUCAUAAUCAACUUCCCAGCCGCAGACUCACCAUCGCACAAUCAGAACGAUUGUACCAUAAAUUUGCCGCUUUCCGAGACAGAGCCGUUGCUAACGAAUAUCGAGACCACCGUUGCGGAUAAGCAACGCUCCAUACGACUGCCGAAGAGUAGCGCUUCAUUGAUAUUCACCAAGAAGGAUUUGUUGCCGCAGCGCACAGCGUCUGUGACACCCUAUCACGGUGGUGGUACUAAUAAUAAUUGCACCACGCAACAGCAACAACAGCAGGCGAAACAACAAAAACACAAUCAGCCACAACAACAACAACAGCAGCUACAGCCACUUCAACAUAGUGCCAGCUUACGCUCGGCUAAGGAAUACGUUGCACGCAAACCUGUCAGGCAUUUGCCAGCUUCAUAUCAGCAACAGCAGGAACUACAGCAACACCAGCAACAACAACAACAACAACAACAACAACGCCGUAGUUUACAAUUGAACUACAACAAUAAUCUAGUGACCACAUCGACGUGCUGCAGUGCGAACAAUAAUUACUGCAACGCCGCAACGGGCAAAACUGCCAGUGUCAGUGGCAGUGCGAGCGGCAGCGGUUCAAUUGGUGCUGUUUUGCAUAAACAUAAUCAGAAUUUGAAGGCUGAUAAUCCAGCGACAACAACAGCAACUACCAACGUCAUUCCACAACAACAAAAGCAGCAACUGCAACAGCAAUCAGGCCAAAGCAAUACAACCACGGCUGCGGCAACACGAAAGCAACACGCGUACUCGUGGUACGCUCCGGUCUAUAGUGCGCUCGAAGAGGAACUGGAACAGGAUUCUAGGGAUUCCUCACCAAUUCACAAUCUGGCCAACACAAAGAAACAACACCUCAACCACUACCAACACCAUCGGUCCACAAACAACUCUUCAACGGCGGUGGACAAUGAAACCGUUGCGCUGCUAGAGACGCGCAACCAAGUCAACAUACAGGCGCAGCUGCAUACGCAGGCCAACAGUCAGAGCCACAGUGGCAAGGAUGGCAGCGUUGGUGGCAACGGCAUUGGCAUCAGUAUCGGCGGCAGUGGUGUUGGCACCGCCAUCAGUCGCGCACAACAGAAACACAGCGGCCAAGCGAGGCGUGCAAAUGGUGGUGCACCACCAGCGCCUACAUCGCUUCCGUUGGCGAGCGCACACAAUACCACGCUGCUCAAUGAAAUGGCCGCCAGCGGGUGUGGUGCGGGAGGCGUUGGCCUAUCAACUAGUGCAGAGCAAACAUCGGUACCGGUGAAUGGAUAUGAAAGCGAAGGUGGAUUGGUGAAUUCGCUUAGUGGCACGCUGCCGCCGCGCAGGCGUAUUGAGAACUUUCUGAAGUCUCUAGUGGGACGUAAGUCAUCGAGCGCACGUACUAGCAGCAAUUCGGGUAAUAGCGGCAAUGCGGACGCUUUAUCAGUAGCAACAUUGGCGAGUCGAUCAGACAACAUCGUCUCACAUCAACCAAUGCCCGCCUCUCCGGAAAUAACUAUUACGGGUACGCCAUCAGAGCAAAAUUUGGCGCUUAUGCGUGAUGCCGCGCUGGCUGGACGUCAAUAUAAGCAAGGGUUUGCAGCGGCAUUGGAGCAGCGUAAAAGUGAUUAUAGUGGCGAAAAGUUGAACGUAAACGGCGCGAUACAGGGUAGCAGUUCAUCGCUAAAUGUUGUGCAACAAAAGCUGUGGAACAUGAUGCGGCGCGAAGACAGCGCGGCCAGCUUGUACAACGAGAAGUCACAUUCGAUAGUGCAGUACCGUGGCUUGCGCAAGUGUGAGACUGUUUUGGCGCUGACGCGUCAAACUAAUUCGUUGUGUUCGCCCGUUUUCGGUGGCAGUGCAGCAGCGCAUCUGGGUGCGGGCGCAAAACACGGCAGUGGCGGCGGCGUUGCUCGACACAACAGCUGUAGCGCUGGUGGCGGUGCGAACGCCGGAAGCAGUGGUAUGCGACGUACACACACCACCGGCAGUGGCAUAUACAGCGCAAGCGGCGUCGAGCAAAUACGACCAUUGAAUCGGCUGCGCAACAGCGUUACGAGCAUCAAUGCUGCAGCGACAUGUUCGCGUUGCUCUAGUCUACUCUCCUUAGCCGCUUCCAGUUCGCGUUAUUCGCUGAAUGUUACAUCGAAUGGUAGCGGAGGAGCGUUCAUGCAAGCGCCUCCCUCCACACAAAUGCCCACAUCUGCAUCACAGCAACAGCUGCAAGCGCUCGCAGCAUCACUCGAUUGCAAGCCACCAAUACACUCAUCACAACAACAUCAACAGAAGCGCGAACGUAAAAUUAGUAAUGUAAGCAGUAGUCAGUUAAAUAGUAAUAAUAAUGUAUUAGCUAGUAAUCGCAAUGCUGAUGCAAACGCCGCGGAACAAUGUGCCAGCGGCGGUGGCAGCAGUAGUGGUAAUUGUUCCCGAAAGAGCUCCGCUGGCGCGCCAAGCACGCAUAGCGCGAGCAGCAUCACACCGCCGUCCAAUAUAACCACGGCUACGCUCACAUCAAGCAUCACAUCGCCGCACGCCAGCACACCCACCACACCUACAGCAACAGCAACAGCAGCAGCAGCAGCGACCACAGCAACAGUUGCAGCAAUCGUCGUCGCACCAGAAUCACUAGUAGUCACACCCACCGCCAACUCACCGCACGCGCAGACAACAAUGUCCUCAUACGCCAGCACUAGCAACAGCAACACCUCAGGCAUACUCGUCGAUCUGCCGUCAUCGCCAACAUCCGCUGCCUCCUCGGCGAGUACACCGUGCACCUCUAGCUCCUGCUCAUCGGCCACUACGCCCGCGCCCACCUAUGCGUUGCCAACAACAUCGCAAACAUAUCCCUUUACCAUUACAUCACUGCUGGCAAUGUCAAAGGCGAACAUGGCACACGAUGUCGGACGUUGUGUCGAUGGAUUUGGUGAGGAAGAUGAUGAUGAUGCUAUGACGGUAACAAUGUCGUCGUCGGCUGUUAACGGCGUGCCGGGUGCUGAUAUGUCUGUGUCUGUCGUGGAUGGCAGGCAUUAUGCGCCGUACGCAACAACACCAGCGCCAGCGAUACAACCGAUGAAGCGUUUUCAGCCGUUCACUUGCAAGCUGUGUCUAAUUGAUGUGGAAACGCAGGGAGAGGCGACAACGCUGCAGUUGUGCGGUUGUGAAUUUUGCACUGAGUGCAUGAAGGCCUAUGUGGAUUUUGAAAUAACCGAAGGCGCCUACGAGAUCUCGUGUCCCGAUGCCCAAUGCCCGGCGCAAGGCAUUAUGACACUACCCGAAAUCGCCAACCUAACGACGACCAACUUGAUGAAGAAGCACCAUCGAUAUCGACUCAACAAAGAAAUCGAAAUGGACAAGACGCGCACCUGGUGUCCGCGCGCUGGCUGCGAAACCGUUUGUCACGUCGGCGUUGGUCCACAUUCCGAUGCCACACCAUCGACCUCGACAGGUGCUGGUGGUGGUGGUGGCGGCCCUCCGGGCGCUGCUUUCACUGACACGCAUGGCACGCACGCACAGCCACUCUGCGCCGUUCAGUGUCCGUCGUGUAAGGAUGAAUUCUGCUCGUCCUGCAAGAAAGCGUGGCAUCCAAAUCUGACUUGUGAGGAGAAUAGUCGUCGUUUGGUGGCGGACGGUCAGGAUGACAUUGGUAUACCCUUCGACAAUGACCUCAUCAAGUGCUGUCCCAUGUGUGCUGUGCCCAUCGAAAAGGAUGAGGGUUGUGCGCAGAUGAUGUGCAAACGUUGCAAGCACGUCUUCUGCUGGUACUGUUUGGCCAGUUUGGAUGACGACUUUCUGUUGCGUCACUACGAUCGUGGGCCAUGCAAGAACAAACUUGGACAUUCCCGUGCCUCGGUGGUGUGGCAUAGAGCGCAAGUGAUUGGUAUUUUUGCCGGUUUCGGUAUAUUGUUGUUGGUUGCCUCACCGCUACUGCUAUUGGCAGCACCCUGUAUUAUAUGUUGUAAAUGCCGCAGUUGUAGCGGUGCAAGAAUCGAUGAAGGCGAUGCCGAAUUGGACGAAGCGACAGCGUUACAGAGGUAAGGGUAAUAAUAUACCAUUUGCUUUGAGUUGGGAUAUAUGUAGGCCAGGAUAAGGAAAUAAAAAGUCUUUAGAAGGCGCCAACGAAACGUACACCAGAAUUUGGACAACAAAUUUGAAGCAUUUUUAAAAGAAAACGAACAAAAAUACAGAAAAGUGUAUUGAUGCGAAAAAUAUAAAGUAAAGAGCGUAUACUUUUACCUAUUUAUUUGACUAUAAAAAAUAUAAUCUGGAAUAUAACACUACCACAAAUGUAUGUAUGUAAAUGUAUUUAUAAAUAACUAAUGAAAUGUAAACAAAUGAGCAAAGUACAGCAAAAGUUAUCGGCAUUAAAUAUUUCACUUAUUUAAAAUCUUUAAUUUUAAAACAGCGAGGCAAAGUUCAAGCUUAGAAUGCUGAUUUAAUUAUUAACGAGACAUUUUUUUCCAAAAUACUCAUUGAAAUACAUAUGUACGCGUCAAGUAUGUAUAAUUGUUUAGCAGAAAACUACGGGAAACUAGCAAAAGGAAUUGUGAUUCAGAAUAUUGUUUGGCGUGUAAUUAAAUUCGUACUGAUUGAUUUUGAUUUAUAAAUCAUAUAUACAUAUAUAUGAUGCAUAUGUAUAUACUUUCAUAGGUAACACACAUAUGUAUAUACAUUAGGGUGCGUCAUAUUUAAAAAUUUUUCCAACGGAAUCAAAAUAAUUAAAUUUUUGGUGCCAUUUUUAAAUCGGCCCUACAUAGAUAUCAAUAUUUUUUCGAAAGUCUUACACCCAAACUAAUGAAAAAUAAAGAAGACAUUUACUGCUUUAUAAUUAGAAAGUUUGUAUAAAAAUGUCACUUUAUAAAUUUCUUUAAAUAUAUUUUAUUUUUUAUGAAAAAGGUCAUUAAUAUGUAUACGUAUAUUGAAUUUUAUACUUCCGAUAGGAAAACUGUACCGAUUUUUAUUAUUUAGUUUUUUUUUUUUUUGUACGAAGAGUGAUGCACCCUAAUAUAUGUAUGUACAUGCAUACAAACAUAAGUCGAAAAAUAAUUUUUCCUACAAGCGAAUCAUAAAAUUUGAUAUUUUUUAUGAACUUCCAUCGAGAUAUUUUUGCACAGAGUUAUUAGU